rnacentral:rRNA from 1 species
AAUGGGGGCAACCCUGAUCCAGCCAUGCCGCGUGAGUGAAGAAGGCCUUCGGGUUGUAAAGCUCUUUCAGGUGGAAAGAAAUCUCCCGGGCGAAUACCCUGGGAGGAUGACGGUACCAUCAGAAGAAGCACCGGCUAACUACGUGCCAGCAGCCGCGGUAAUACGUAGGGUGCGAGCGUUAAUCGGAAUUACUGGGCGUAAAGCGUGCGCAGGCGGUUGUGUAAGACAGAUGUGAAAUCCCCGGGCUCAACCUGGGAACUGCGUUUGUGACUGCACAACUAGAGUACGGCAGAGGGAGGUGGAAUUCCGCGUGUAGCAGUGAAAUGCGUAGAGAUGCGGAGGAACACCGAUGGCGAAGGCAGCCUCCUGGGCCAGUACUGACGCUCAUGCACGAAAGCGUGGGGAGCAAA